rnacentral:rRNA from 1 species
ACGCUCGACACCUACGGGAGGCAGCAGUGGGGAAUAUUGCACAAUGGGGGAAACCCUGAUGCAGCGACGCCGCGUGAGCGAAGAAGUAUUUCGGUAUGUAAAGCUCUAUCAGCAGGGAAGAAAAUGACGGUACCUGACUAAGAAGCCCCGGCUAACUACGUGCCUGCAGCCGCGGUAAUCUGAGCGGGCUGGCAAGGC